AUACAGAGAGUGCAAGCGUUAAUCGGAAUUACUGGGCGUAAAGCGCGCGUAGGUGGAUACUUCAGUCGGAUGUGAAAGCCCCAGGCUUAACCUGGGAAUUGCACUCGAUACUGGGUAUCUUGAGUAUGGUAGAGGGAAGUGGAAUUUCCGGUGUAGCGGUGAAAUGCGUAGAUAUCGGAAAGAACACCAGUGGCGAAGGCGGCUUCCUGGACCAAUACUGACGCUGAGGUGCGAAAGCGUGGGGAGCAAACAGGAUUAGAAACCCCAGUAGUCC
rnacentral:rRNA from 1 species